AGUGAACGCUGGCGGUAGGCCUAACACAUGCAAGUCGAACGGCAGCACAGUAAGAGCUUGCUCUUACGGGUGGCGAGUGGCGGACGGGUGAGGAAUACAUCGGAAUCUACUUUUUCGUGGGGGAUAACGUAGGGAAACUUACGCUAAUACCGCAUACGACCUACGGCUGAAAGCAGUGGAUCUUCGGACCUUGCGCGACUGAAUGAGCCGAUGUCGGAUUAGCUAGUUGGCAGGGUAAAGGCCCACCAAGGCGACGAUCCGUAGCUGGUCUGAGAGGAUGAUCAGCCACACUGGAACUGAGACACGGUCCAGACUCCUACGGGAGGCAGCAGUGGGGAAUAUUCGGCAAUGGGCGCAAGCCUGAUCCAGCCAUACCGCGUGGGUGAAGAAGGCCUUCGGGUUGUAAAGCCCUUUUGUUGGGAAAGAAAAGCAGCAGGUUAAUACCCCGCUGUUCUGACGGUACCCAAAGAAUAAGCACCGGCUAACUUCGUG
rnacentral:rRNA from 1 species